rnacentral:rRNA from 1 species
GACGAACGCUGGCGGCGUGCUUAACACAUGCAAGUCGAACGCUGAAGCUUGGUGCUUGCACUGGGUGGAUGAGUGGCGAACGGGUGAGUAAUACGUGAGUAACCUGCCCUUGACUCUGGGAUAAGCCUGGGAAACUGGGUCUAAUACUGGAUACGACAUGCCACUGCAUGGUGGUGUGUGGAAAGGGUUUUACUGGUUUUGGAUGGGCUCACGGCCUAUCAGCUUGUUGGUGGGGUAAUGGCCUACCAAGGCGACGACGGGUAGCCGGCCUGAGAGGGUGACCGGCCACACUGGGACUGAGACACGGCCCAGACUCCUACGGGAGGCAGCAGUGGGGAAUAUUGCACAAUGGGCUGAAGCCUGAUGCAGCGACGCCGCGUGAGGGAUGACGGCCUUCGGGUUGUAAACCUCUUUCAGCACGGAAGAAGCGAGAGUGACGGUACGUGCAGAAGAAGCGCCGGCUAACUACGUG